AUUGAACGCUGGCGGCAGGCUUAACACAUGCAAGUCGAACGAUGAUUAUCUAGCUUGCUAGAUAUGAUUAGUGGCGGACGGGUGAGUAACAUUUAGGAAUCUGCCUAGUAGUGGGGGAUAGCUCGGGGAAACUCGAAUUAAUACCGCAUACGACCUACGGGUGAAAGGGGGCGCAAGCUCUUGCUAUUAGAUGAGCCUAAAUCAGAUUAGCUAGUUGGUGGGGUAAAGGCCCACCAAGGCGACGAUCUGUAACUGGUCUGAGAGGAUGAUCAGUCACACCGGAACUGAGACACGGUCCGGACUCCUACGGGAGGCAGCAGUGGGGAAUAUUGGACAAUGGGGGCAACCCUGAUCCAGCCAUGCCGCGUGUGUGAAGAAGGCCUUUUGGUUGUAAAGCACUUUAAGCAGGGAGGAGAGGCUAAUGGUUAAUACCCAUUAGAUUAGACGUUACCUGCAGAAUAAGCACCGGCUAACUCUGUGCCAGCAGCCGCGGUAAUACAGAGGGUGCGAGCGUUUAUCGGAAUUACUGGGCGUAAAGCGAGUGUAGGUGGCUCAUUAAGUCACAUGUGAAAUCCCCGGGCUUAACCUGGGAACUGCAUGUGAUACUGGUGGUGCUAGAAUAUGUGAGAGGGAAGUAGAAUUCCAGGUGUAGCGGUGAGAUGCGUAGAGAUCUGGAGGAAUACCGAUGGCGAAGGCAGCUUCCUGGCAUAAUAUUGACACUGAGAUUCGAAAGCGUGGGUAGCAAACAGGAUUAGAUACCCUGGUAGUCCACGCCGUAAACGAUGUCUACUAGCCGUUGGGGUCCUUGAGACUUUAGUGGCGCAGUUAACGCGAUAAGUAGACCGCCUGGGGAGUACGGCCGCAAGGUUAAAACUCAAAUGAAUUGACGGGGGCCCGCACAAGCGGUGGAGCAUGUGGUUUAAUUCGAUGCAACGCGAAGAACCUUACCUGGUCUUGACAUAGUGAGAAUCCUGCAGAGAUGCGGGAGUGCCUUCGGGAAUUCACAUACAGGUGCUGCAUGGCUGUCGUCAGCUCGUGUCGUGAGAUGUUGGGUUAAGUCCCGCAACGAGCGCAACCCUUUUCCUUAUUUGCCAGCGGGUUAAGCCGGGAACUUUAAGGAUACUGCCAGUGACAAACUGGAGGAAGGCGGGGACGACGUCAAGUCAUCAUGGCCCUUACGACCAGGGCUACACACGUGCUACAAUGGUAGGUACAGAGGGUUGCUACACAGCGAUGUGAUGCUAAUCUCAAAAAGCCUAUCGUAGUCCGGAUUGGAGUCUGCAACUCGACUCCAUGAAGUCGGAAUCGCUAGUAAUCGCAGAUCAGAAUGCUGCGGUGAAUACGUUCCCGGGCCU
rnacentral:rRNA from 1 species